GUGGGGAAUAUUGGACAAUGGGCGAAAGCCUGAUCCAGCAAUGCCGCGUGAGUGAUGAAGGCCUUAGGGUUGUAAAGCUCUUUUACCCGGGAAGAUAAUGACUGUACCGGGAGAAUAAGCCCCGGCUAACUCCGUGCCAGCAGCCGCGGUAAUACGGAGGGGGCUAGCGUUGUUCGGAAUUACUGGGCGUAAAGCGCACGUAGGCGGUUUUGUAAGUUAGAGGUGAAAGCCUGGGGCUCAACCCCAGAAUUGCCUUUAAGACUGCAUCACUUGAACGUCGGAGAGGUGAGUGGAAUUCCGAGUGUAGAGGUGAAAUUCGUAGAUAUUCGGAGGAACACCAGUGGCGAAGGCGGCUCACUGGUCCAUUACUGACGCUGAGGUGCGAAAGCGUGGGGAGCAAACAGGAUUAGAUACCCGUGUAGUCC
rnacentral:rRNA from 1 species